AAAUAUGCUGUCAUGGCUGACUUUAAGAAAGGAAAAUCGCGAAACAUUAGAAAAAGACGUAAAUCGUCAGAUAGUGAAUCGGAUUCGGCUGAAGAAGAAAAUGUUGUCUCAAAGAUACAGGAUAUAAAGGAGCUACAAAAACUAAGAAACAAACAAAAUGGCGUCAACGCAACAGCUUUGGCAUUGGGAAAGAAACUUUCCAAAGAACAGGCUCGCAAUAGUAGUGAUCCUUUUAAACUGGAGACUGGUGGCAUGGUGGAUAUGAAGGAACUGAAAAAAAAGAAACUAACAACUGAGGAGGUGGAAGCCAUUGGUACAGCUUUUGCUGCAGAGACAAACAGAAGAGAUGAAGACACAGAAAUGUUGAAGUAUGUUGAAGUGGAGUUAGCCAAGAGGAAAGGACAUCACAAAGAAGAAACACCUGUUAAAGGGUACUGUUGAGUACAGCACAAAGCUAGGGAAUUAAUGAGACUUAUAUUCAGUACAGUGUAUAACACAAAGCUUGUUAAUUGAUAAGAUUUUGAGUUUAACACAAAGCUAGUUUAUUGAUUACUGGUAAACUAUUCAAAUACUAUUUUCAUUUUCAGUAAUUCUGUUAAUUGUAUUUCAUACAAAAUUCAAACCUUAAUAAUUUUGAAGUUUUAAUCAAUGAAUGAUUAAUAUAUUUAUUCGAACUUGUUCACCAUCAUCAAAAUACAUUUUCAGUGAAAAAAAUGACCAUAAUAAAUUAGAAAAUCUUUGUCUGUAUAAUUUAUAUAUUGUACAAUUAUCACUAUGAUAUAUGUUAUUUGAUAAUGUUUUAGGCAUUCUCAAGAAGAUGCUUUGUAUGUCUUACCUGAAAAACUGAAAGUUGGAUCUGGCAGCAAAAGGACGGAGGACAUGUUGUCCAAUCAGAUGUUGUCUGGAAUACCAGAAAUUGACCUUGGCAUUGAGGCCAAGAUAGCCAACAUUGAAUCAACAGAGAUAGCUAAACAGAAGCUUCUGUUGGAGAAAAUGAGGAGAAAGGAUCAUGAAGUGUCCGAUUUUGUUCCAACAAACAUGGCUGCCAAUUUUGUUCAGCACAACAGAUUCAACAUUGAGGACACGGCACCAAUCCUAAAAAAAGUGGUGGAGCUCCCUAAACCAGAGCCAGUCCGAGUGGGUGAUGCAGACAAGCUCAAGCAGGCUGAUAAAGGAAACAAAGGAAUUGAGAAGGCCACAGACGACUUUCAUUAUGAGAAGUUUAAGAAACAGAUGCGCAGAUUCUAAUCAGUUCUUCAUGUGUGUGUUAAUAGGAAACCACAGAAGACCAAAUUAUAGAGAAAUCUUAAAAGACAAAAACACUUUUGGGGCUGCAUAAGAUCAACUUGAUGGACUUUAACUGGUACAAAGCAUUGAGUUUUAGUGAGAAAUUUAAGAUAUAUUUAACUCAUUCUGUCUAGCAAAGCAUCUUCUUCAUUGGAUCAUUAUUAUGUCUCAUCGAUGUGUUAGGGAGAGAGAGAGAAACUUGAUUUUGUGUAGUACGUUAUCAUGACAAAAUAAAAUUUGAUCAGUAU
rnacentral:misc_RNA from 1 species